CACAGUUUGUCACUUAAUACUAUCUUAUAUUGACUUCUAUGAAACAUAAAUUUUUAAUUUUAAUGAUUGAUGGAUCAAUUUAAUUUUUAAAUAUUGAACCAGUCUGGCAUGCUUAAGACAAAUCACCCUUGGUUAUAAUGAAUAAUUCCUUUUUUCUUGUAAUUUUUUUUGUUUGAUUUUGGUGUUAGGGUAAUGUUGCCCUCAGUAAAUUAAGAAGUAUUCCCUCUGCUUCUAUCUUUUAGAAGAGAUUGUACUGAAUUGGUAUAAUUUCUUUCUUUGAUGAUGUUUGAGAGAGUUCCACAGUGAACUCAACUUGGUGCCUCUAUUUGGAAGAUUAUUUUUUAGUUUUUAAUAAUUAAAUGCCUUUAUCAGUUAAAAUAUAGAUUAUUUAUGUUUUCUUUGAUGGGAGUUUUGGGAAAAUGGUCUCGUUGAAGGAAUUAAUCCAUUACAACUAAGUUAUCUAAUUUUAGGUCUUAGAAUUCAUAAUAUUCCUUUUAGUGUCUACAGGACUUGAAGGAGGAUCCCCUCUUUGAUUUCUUGUAUUUAUAAUUGUGUCUUCUAUCUCUUUUAACCUGGCCAGAGGACUAUUGAUUUUAUUGUUUUUGAAAGAACCAGCUUUUGAGUUGACCUAUUUUUAAAAAAUUUGGGAUCCCUGAAGAAAUAACAGAGCAAAGCAUAUAUAAAAUCACCAAUGAAUCCUAAUAACUCAAGAGGCUGGGGUAGGAGGAUUGUAAAUCCAAGGCUAGCCGCAGCAAUUUAAUGAAACUCUAAGCAAUUUAGUGAGUCCCUGUCUCAAAAUUAAAAAAAAAAAUUAAGGAGAAUUAGGGAUGUAACUCAGUAGUAGUGGAGCACCUCUGAUUUCAAUCCUUAGUUUAAAAAAAUUCGGUUAAGCAGUCUUCCAUUUGUAGAAAAUGAAAUAUUUGAAUUAACAUAUGGUGGCAGGGAUUAUUGAAGAAGGUAAUUCUAAGGUCAAUUUGCAGAAAUAAAUGAAAAAGGGAUGAUGAUAAAGUCAGGGAUUCCUGUGAGAAUGAUUUUCUCAUUGUCUGUCUAAAUAGCUCGAUUUCUGCACUAAAAAGCAGCUUUGGAAAAAGAAAGGUAGAAACAAACAUCUGAGUCAUUGCAGCUCAUUUCAACAUGAAUUUAUUAAAUCCUAACUAAAAUAGUUCUCUCCUGUGUUAGAGAUAAUCUGAGGACAAAAGGAAUAUGUAACUAGGGAAAUGACCUGAACAGGGCUAAUCCUGAUAGGUGCCAAGUUUGAGAAUUCAUGUGCCUUAUGUUAUGGCAGGAAAAAAUAAUUCUGAUGACUAGAGCACAGAGGUAAGGUAACAUACAGAAUCAAGAUGAUUACAAAUUUUCAAGCCUGGGAUACUUAAUCCUGGGAAAAUUAGAAUGUCUGUCAUUAUUUUUAUAAUCUAACAAUGCUACUAAUUCUUGUGUUAAACUUAAAAUUCGGAAAACCUUGCCCACUGAGAAAUACCUGGAUGUUACAAAGUAUGUAACAGACAUACUUAAUAUUUCUCAGUUUAUAUCAACUGAGGGAGAUUAGGCAUGGAAAUUUAAAAGAAAUGAUAGAGUAAUUAAAAUGUGUUACUAUAUAUCUACUAUAAUUCCUGAAAAAUAAGAAAAAAGGAGAUGUAACAUUUGAAAAAGUGAUGGCUACAAAUUUUCCAAAAUUAAUGGAAAACAUGAAUUCUUUUACACCUUUAUUAGAGAGUUUAAAAGAGGCAAUUAGUGCAUUUUUUUCUAAUUUUCAUAUACUCUCCCAUUUUCUCAUUAUUAAAUAUUUUUACUUUGUCAAUGCAUAAAAUAUCGACAUUGUUAUCCUUAUUAUCAUUGGAACGUAAAUAAAAUCAACUACAUAAAUGUGCUUUGUAAAAUAUAAAACAAUACAUUUUUUCAGUUCCUUUAUCCCUUUUUUCAAACCUUGCUUUUUAAUUUCUCCCUUAUUCAAAGUAUAAUUGGGUUUUAGAAAGAUCAGAGCAGGUACUUCAUAUUUAGCCUAUAAACUCUUUUCUGUUAAUGCCAAUCAUUAAGUUCUUUGUUCACUCAUACAUAUUUCUAUCCAUAAGAUAAAAACUGGCAUUUCUGGAAUCAAUUACAAUUAGAACUAAUACUGUUGUCUUACCUAAAGAAUAAAUGCACAAUGGCACUCAAUUUUAUGUUAUUACUCAUCCUCAAAAACCCUAGCUAAUAAGUACCAAAUAUUGAUGGCUUCACUGAUUUUCUUUUGAACAGUAAGAAAAUGUUAGAUAUUCCAUUUCUUUUUCUUUAAGUGGUAGAAUUUAUGUCAUUGUUCCAACUGCAGGUGGCACUGAGUGACUUGUCAGUUCUGCUCCUGGUUAUUCUUUCUUACCCUAGAAGUGUACAGAAUACUACACAUCAUGAAUCAUGCUGAGCGAAAAGUAUGAUAAAUAUUUCCUUUGAGGAAAAAGUUUCAUGUGGGAAACCAUUUUCUCUUUUAUCUAUUGUGCUUCUCAGAGUCCAGCCAGAACCACAGCUGUUUAAUUUAUUUGAUAUAUCUUGGUGUCUAGCAUGGUGACGUGAACAUAUAGACAUUUGAUAAAUGUUACAUCAUGAUAAUUGUGGCUAUCAUUAUUAAGGUGGUUAUGGAACCUAUUCAAAGAAUUCGAUGCCAUGACUUCAUGGUAAGGUAUGUUUUGUCUCUAGAUUUCUCCCUUAAUAGAGGCCUUGAAUAUGCUAUAUUUGUUUAAAUAAUCAGAGAGACAUAGGAAGGAAUUAAAGGACAACUGGUCUAUGCACAUUAUUUUACAUGAGACGAAUAGGAGAACAGGGAGGUUUGACUUGUUCAAUAUACAGUGUGAAGUCAGUUCCAGAUAUGGGAUAAAGAACUUGUUCUUCCAAUCCAAGUUUUCCAUUAUACUGAAACUAAAAUUUGCUUUUGCUAUUAUACAAUGGUAAUUUACAGCUCUUACUCAAAAAUCAUGUUUUAGAAUUAUGCUUUGGAAUUCACAAUGGAAUAAAAAGAAUAAAGAAAUGAAAAUAGUUUGAUAUGAUAUGUUUCCUCCUAAUUUGGAAAUUUUGACAGAGUGGGUGGGCCCACUCCAUUUUAUCAGGCAUUAUUGAAUAGUUACAAAAUCCAGAGCUAAGAAAAUACAAUUAAGUCUAGUUGGGUAGCCAGUUUUAAACCCAACUGAAAAAAAAAAUCCCUGACAAUUAAAGUGAUGAGAAUUGAGAAUUUCAGGGAUUGUGUUAAUAUUUAGUAUGUGAAGAAUUAAAAAAAAAAUAGAGGUUUACAUCCCUGGUGGGAAGACCAGUGCUGAAAGCAAAUCUCCUUUAUGUUGAUCUGGGUAUCAAUUUCUGUUGAAGAAUUGGGAUCUCAUGAUACAGAAUAUCAUAUGUAUUCUGACAUUAAUGAUUUUCAUCAGCUGAGGCAAAGAGAUGUUGUUUGAGAUGAAAAUCUGAACAUCCUAAAGCAGGCUUGAUGCAAAAUGCAGCUACCACAACAAACCUCAAAAGACGCUUGUUCAUUUGGUUAAUUUUGUAGCCAAGAGCUUUAUUUCAUAAUUCUGGAAAUGAACCAAUUCCCUGUUCCCUCACUACAUUUCAACACUGAAUAAAUACAAUGCUGGACUUGGCCCACUGAAAACAACCUGCUAUCACUCAUGCAGGCAAAGCCAGGGACUCUGAAUUGAUUUGGUCCUCCUUCUGGGUUGUGGUAGGGAAAAUAAACGCACACAAUGACUUAUGACUGUUUCUUCAGGUGACUUGCACCUUGGCUGACUUGAUUUGGCUGACUUGCUGAUGGGACCACGGAGAGACCUUCAUCUGCUUCCCAGCAACCAAAGAGCACGGUGACUGAUAGACGGAUGGAUGUCAGUGCUUCUACCUCUACUCUGUACCACUAGAUUUCACCAUCUGUCUUGAGGAAGGACUUAAAGUUUGUACUUCUUGCUGUCCCAGCUUCUAGCAUGUAACCUGGCACUCAGACAAAAAAGAAAGGGGAAGGGGAAAUUAGGAAAGAAAUGCCAAAGAGUUAUCUCCAAUUUUUUUUUUUUUUACUAAGAAUUCUAAGAAACAUUGAUAGUACUACAUGAACAUUUCCUUAUGUUUCCCCAUAAUCAAAAUACCAAGAAAUUAUGAUUAUCAUGAUCCCUCAUUUCAUAAAUGUAAUAUGUAUUCAGUACUUCUUUAAAUUAAGGUGCCAAUUGGAAGUUUUUAAAAGUGUGUCAAAACAAA